CGCGGGUCCCCGCGCCUGCUCCGGCCAGGAGCCUUCACGUAAAUGGGUCCAGUCAUGCCUGCCAGUAAGAAGCCCGAAAGCUCAGGAAUCAGUGCAUCCAGGGGACUGAGUCAGUGUUACCGGGGCAGCGGUUUCUCCAAGGCCCUCCAGGAAGACGAUGACCUCGACUUCCCUCUGCCUGACAUCAGAUUAGAAGAGGGGACCAUGGAAGAUGAAGAGCUGACCAACCUGAACUGGCUGCACGAGAGCAAGAAUUUGCUGAAGAGUUUCCGGGAGUCGGUCCUCAGGAGUGUGAGCCCGGUCCAGGACCUGGACGAUGACACCCCACCCUCUCCUGCCCACUCAGACAUGCCCUACGAUGCCAGGCAGAACCCUAACUGCAAGCCCCCCUACUCUUUUAGCUGCCUCAUGUUUAUGGCCAUCGAGGAAUCUCCAACGACGCGCCUGCCAGUGAAGAAUAUCUACACACUGGAUCUUAGAACAUUUCCCAUAUUUUGCGAAUGCCCCUGCUGGGUGGAAAAACUCAGUGAGACGUAGUUUGUCAUUGAAUACGUGUUUUAAGAAAGUGGACAAAGAGAGAAGUCAGAGUAUUGGGAAAGGGUCGUUGUGGUGCGUAGACCCAGAGUAUAGACAAAAUCUAAUUCCGGCUUUGAAAAAGACACCUUACCACCCACCUCCCACUCCUCAGGCAUAUCAAAGCACAUCAAGUCUACCCAUCUGGUCGGGCAGUACCUUCUUCAAGAGAAACGGAGCCCUUCUGCAAGUUCCUCCAGGAGUGAUACAAAAUGGAGCGCGAGUUCUGAGCCGAGGGCUGUUUCCUGGCGUCCGCCCCUUGCCAAUAACUCCCAUUGGGAUGACGGCAGCCAUGAGGAACGGCAUCACCAGUUGCCGGAUGCGGACUGAGAGCGAGCCAUCGUGUGGUCAGUGGAGACCCCAAGGAGGAUCACAACUGCAGCGGUGCUAAGUCCUCCAAUGCCCAGAGCACCUCGCCUGUCAGCGACUCCAUUUCUUCCUCCUCCUCAGCCGACGACCACUAUGAGUUUGCCACGGAGGGGAGACAGGAAGGCAGUGAAGGCAGUGAGGGAAGCUUCCAGAGCCAGGAGAGCCACAGCGAGACAGAGGAGGAUGACAGGAAACCUAGCCAGAAGGAGGAUGCCCUGGGGGACAGCGGCUGUGUUUCCCAGCACAAGAAGCGCCAGCACUUGGCCAAGACCAGGAAGGUCCCCAGUGACACGCUGCCCCUCAAAAAGAGAGGCACAGAAAAGCGACCCGAGAGCGACGAUGAGGAGAUGAAAGAGGCAGCCGGGUCACUGCUGCACUUGGCAGGGAUUCGGUCCUGUUUGAACAAUAUCACCAAUCCUACUGGCAAAGGGACAGAAAGAGCAAAAGGGAACCACAAAACAUUGA